rnacentral:rRNA from 1 species
AUUGAACGCUGGCGGCAGGCUUAACACAUGCAAGUCGAGCGAGCGGCGGACGGGUGAGUAAUGUCUGGGAAACUGCCUGAUGGAGGGGGAUAACUACUGGAAACGGUAGCUAAUACCGCAUACCAUCAGAUGUGCCCAGAUGGGAUUAGCUAGUAGGGGGGGUAAUGGCUCACCUAGGCGACGAUCCCUAGCUGUGCUGAGAGGAGGACCAGACACACUGGAACUGAGACAAGGUCCAGGAUCCGACGGGAGGCAGCAGUGGGGGAGAUUGCAAAAUGGGCGCAAGCCUGAUGCAGCCAUGCCGCGUGUGUGAAGAAGGCCUGCGGGUUGUAAAGCACUUUCAGCGAGGAGGCGUUACUCGCAGAAGAAGCACCGGCUAACUCCGUGCCAGCCGCCGCGGUAAUAC